rnacentral:rRNA from 1 species
GGCUUAACCCGGGGCCUGCAGCGAAACUGUGGUGCUGGAGUAUGGGAGAGUGCGUGGAAUNCCCGGUGUAGCGGUGAAAUGCGUAGAUAUCGGGAGGAACACCUGUGGCGAAAGCGGCGCACUGGACCAUAACUGACGCUGAGGCGCGAAAGCUAGGGGAGCAAACAGGAUUAGAUACCCUGGUAGUCCUAGCCCUACACGAUGAUUGCUUGGUGUAGCAGGUACCCAAUCCUGCUGUGCCGCAGCUAACGCGAUAAGCAAUCCGCCUGGGGAGUACGGUCGCAAGGCUGANACUCAAAGGAAUNGACGGGGGCCCGCACAAGCGGUGGAGCAUGUGGUUCAAUNCGACGCAACGCGAAGAACCUUACC